CGCGUGGGCAACCUGCCCUGCUACAGAGGGACAACGACGGGAAACCGUUGCUAAUACCUCAUAAAACUCUAAAGGGGCAUCCCUUAUGGGUCAAAGAAUUUCGGUACAGGAUGGGCCCGCGUCUGAUUAGCUAGUUGGUGAGGUAAUGGCUCACCAAGGCGACGAUCAGUACCGACCUGAGAGGGUGAUCGGCCACACUGGAACUGAGACACGGUCCAGACUCCUACGGGAGGCAGCAGUGGGGAAUAUUGCACAAUGGGGGAAACCCUGAUGCAGCAACGCCGCGUGAGCGAUGAAGGCCUUCGGGUCGUAAAGCUCUGUCCUAAGGGAACAAAUUUGACGGUACCUUAGGAGGAAGCCCCGGCUAACUACGUGCCAGUCAGCCGCGGUAAUACGUAGGGGCAAGCGUUAUCCGGAAUCACUGGGCGUAAAGGGUGCGUAGGCGGUCUUACAAGUCAGGGGUGAAAGCUACGCUCACCGUAGUUAAGCCUUUGAAAACUGUAGACUUAGUGCAGGAGACGAAAGUU
rnacentral:rRNA from 1 species